GAGGAAGUAAAAGUCGUAACAAGGUCUCCGUUGGUGAACCAGCGGAGGGAUCAUUACCGAGUUAUCAACUCCCAAACCCCUGUGAACAUACCUGAACGUUGCUUCGGCGGGACCGCCCCGGCGCCCUCGGGCGUCCCGGAACCAGGCGCCCGCCGGAGGACCCAAACUCUUGUUUUCAAUUAGCGGAUUGCUCUGAGUCUCAAAAAAAUAAAUGAAUCAAAACUUUCAACAACGGAUCUCUUGGCUCUGGCAUCGAUGAAGAACGCAGCGAAAUGCGAUAAGUAAUGUGAAUUGCAGAAUUCAGUGAAUCAUCGAAUCUUUGAACGCACAUUGCGCCCGCCAGUAUUCUGGCGGGCAUGCCUGUCCGAGCGUCAUUUCAACCCUCAGGCACCCUUCGGGGCGCCUGGUGUUGGGGACCGGCCCCGUGCCGCCCCCGAAAUGCAGUGGCGACCUCGCCGCAGCCUCCCCUGCGUAGUAGCACAACCUCGCACCGGAGCGCGGAGACGGUCACGCCGUAAAACGCCCAACUUCCUUUAGAGUUGACCUCGGAUCAGGUAGGAAUACCCGCUGAACUUAAGCAUAUCAAU
rnacentral:rRNA from 1 species